CUUUAAAAAAUUCUUUUUUUAUUAUCUGGCAAUACAUAUCUUAAUUAUAAGUUUUAAUCCGGGCCAGUUGCCCGGUAUGUUUCAUUUUUCAAAAGAGGUUCUGCAGUAUGUCUACAGGUGUAGUCAAGUGGUUCAAUGAAGCCAAAGGCUUCGGUUUUAUUUCACCCGAUGAUGGUUCACGGGAUGUGUUUGUCCAUUUUUCAGCUAUCCAGGCUAAUGGUUUCAAAAAACUGGAAGAAGGGCAGAAAGUUCAGUUUGAAAUUGUAGAUGGAGCUAAAGGCCCUAACGCCCAGAAUGUUAUUCCCGAAUAAUAAGCGUCUAUUUACAUAUGCUAUAAGGCCCUGCAAUAAUGCGGGGCUUUUUUC
rnacentral:sRNA from 1 species